CGCACGCUGGCGGCGUGCUUAACACAUGCAAGUCGAACGGAAAGGCCCUGCUUUUGUGGGGUGCUCGAGUGGCGAACGGGUGAGUAACACGUGAGUAACCUGCCCUUUACUUUGGGAUAACUUCAGGAAACUGGGGCUAAUACCGGAUAGGAGCUCCUGCUGCAUGGUGGGGGUUGGAAAGUUUCGGCGGUUGGGGAUGGACUCGCGGCUUAUCAGCUUGUUGGUGGGGUAGUGGCUUACCAAGGCUUUGACGGGUAGCCGGCCUGAGAGGGUGACCGGCCACAUUGGGACUGAGAUACGGCCCAGACUCCUACGGGAGGCAGCAGUGGGGAAUAUUGCACAAUGGGCGGAAGCCUGAUGCAGCAACGCCGCGUGCGGGAUGACGGCCUUCGGGUUGUAAACCGCUUUCGCCUGUGACGAAGCGUGAGUGACGGUAAUGGGUAAAGAAGCACCGGCUAACUACGUG
rnacentral:rRNA from 1 species